rnacentral:rRNA from 1 species
UACAGAGGUCCCGAGCGUUGUUCGGAUUCAUUGGGCGUAAAGGGUGCGUAGGCGGCUUUCUAAGUCUGAUGUGAAAUCCUGGGGCUCAACCCUGGAACUGCAUUGGAUACUGGGAGGCUAGAGUACUGGAGAGGAAACUGGAAUUUACGGUGUAGCAGUGAAAUGCGUAGAGAUCGUAAGGAAGACCAGUGGCGAAGGCGAGUUUCUGGACAGUUACUGACGCUGAGGCACGAAGGCCAGGGGGAGCAAAACGGG